rnacentral:tmRNA from 23 species
GGGGGCGACAUGGCUUCGACGCCGGUGACAAUCCCUGAGGUGCAUGCCGAGAGCGUAACGUAUCUCGUAAAUCCAACGUUACGAUUAAAUAGUCGCAAACGACGACAACUACGCUCAGGGCGCGCUGGCAGCGUAACAACUGCUAGCUUCUAGUCCGGCCCGGAGGUGAUGUGCCCAUUCAUCACCGAUGGGAUACGAGCUCAGACUGAUGGGAUCGCGGUUGGCCCUGUCCUCGUGUCAGCCGCUAAAACUUAGAGGAAUCGCGUCGCUGGAUCCUGCCCGUCGGAGCCAGGGACGUUAAAUCAGAAGACGGACCUAAGCAUGUAGAGCCGAUGGGUGAGUGCCGGCGGACGGGGGUUCAAUUCCCCCCGCCUCCACCA